GAUGAACGCUGGCGGCGUGCCUAAUACAUGCAAGUAGAACGCUGAAGCUUGGUGCUUGCACCGAGCGGAUGAGUUGCGAACGGGUGAGUAACGCGUAGGUAACCCGCCUCUUAGCGGGGGAUAACUAUUGGAAACGAUAGCUAAUACCGCAUAAAAGUCGAUAUCGCAUGAUAUUGAUUUGAAAGGUGCAAAUGCAUCACUAAGAGAUGGACCUGCGUUGUAUUAGCUAGUUGGUGAGGUAACGGCUCACCAAGGCGACGAUACAUAGCCGACCUGAGAGGGUGAUCGGCCACACUGGGACUGAGACACGGCCCAGACUCCUACGGGAGGCAGCAGUAGGGAAUCUUCGGCAAUGGGGGCAACCCUGACCGAGCAACGCCGCGUGAGUGAAGAAGGUUUUCGGAUCGUAAAGCUCUGUUGUAAGAGAAGAACGAGUGUGAGAGUGGAAAGUUCACACUGUGACGGUAACUUACCAGAAAGGGACGGCUAACUACGUG
rnacentral:rRNA from 1 species